CCUUAGUGCUGCAUUCGACACCAUUGACCAUGACAUCCUGUUACAGAGACUGGAGCAGUCGAUUGGCAUUUCAGGUACGGCACUAAUUUGGUUUAAAUCCUAUUUAUCAGAUCGAUCUCAGUUUGUAUUUGUAAACGAUGACGCCUCGAUAACCACCAACGUUAGUCACGGAGUUCCACAAGGUUCUGUGCUUGGACCAAUUUUAUUUACCUUAUACAUGCUUCCUUUGGGCAAUAUUAUCAGGAAACACUCCAUAAACUUUCAUUGUUAUGCAGAUGACACUCAACUAUAUUUAUCGAUAAAACCAGAGGAGAGCAACCAACUCUGUAAAAUUCAAGCAUGUCUUAAAGACAUAAAAACAUGGAUGACCUGCAACUUCUUGAUGUUAAACUCAGACAAAACCGAAGUAAUUUUAAUCGGCCCUGAGCACCUCAGAGUUCAAUUAUCUGGUGAUGUGGAUUCUGUAGACGCCAUUGCCCUGGCAUCCAACACCACUGUAAAGAAUCUUGGCGUUAUCUUUGAUCAGGACUUGUCCUUUAACUCCCACGUAAAGCAAAUCUCAAGGACUGCAUUCUUUCAUCUACGUAAUAUUUCAAAAAUCAGGCACAUCUUGUCUCAAAAGAUGCAGAAAAAUUGGUUCACGCGUUCGUUACUUGAGACUGGAUUACUGCAACUCCUUAUUAUCAGGCUGCUCUAAUAAAUCUCUUAGGUCCCUCCAGUUGAUCCAGAAUGCUGCAGCUCGUGUUCUCACUGAAACUAAGAAAAGAGAUCACAUCACUCCUGCACUAGCUGCUCUGCACUGGCUCCCAGUAAAAUCAAGAAUCACUUUUAAAAUUCUUCUCUUAACCUACAAAGCCUUGAUUGGUGAUGCUCCAUCAUAUCUUAAGGAGCUUGUAGUACCAUAUUGCCCCACUAGAGAGCUACGCUCACUAAAUGCGGGACUACUUGUAGUUCCUAGAGUCUUAAAAAGUAGAAUGGGAGCCAGAGCCUUUAGUUAUCAAGCUCCUCUUUUAUGGAACCAGCUUCCACCUUCAGUCCAGGAGGCAGACACAGUCACCUCGUUUAAGUGUAGACUUAAGACCUUCCUCUUUGACAGAGCUUAUAGUUAGGGCUGAAUCAGGUUUGCCCUGGUCCAGCCCCUUGAUAUGCUGCUAUAGGCUUAUAGCUGCCGGGGGACGUUUUAGGAUGCACUGAGUACCUAUCUCCUCUUUUUUCUCUCCUUAAGGA